ACGUAGGGUGCGAGCGUUAAUCGGAAUUACUGGGCGUAAAGCGUGCGCAGGCGGUUUUGUAAGCCAGUCGUGAAAUCCCCAGGCUUAACCUGGGAAUGGCGAUUGGGACUGCAAGGCUGGAGUAUGGCAGAGGGGACUGGAAUUCCUGGUGUAGCAGUGAAAUGCGUAGAUAUCAGGAGGAAUACCGAUGGCGAAGGCAGGUCCCUGGGCUGAUACUGACGCUCAUGCACGAAAGCGUGGGGAGCAAACAGGAUUAGAUACCCUGGUAGUCCACGCCCCAAACGAUGUCAACUGGUUGUUGGGAGGGUUUCUUCUCAGUAACGUAGCUAACGCGUGAAGUUGACCGCCUGGGGAGUACGGCCGCAAGGUUG
rnacentral:rRNA from 1 species